AACGUAGGAGACAAACGUUAUCCGGAGUUACUGGGCGUAAAGGGCGUGCAGGCGGUCUGUUAAGUCUGGCGUGAAAGCUCUCGGCUAAACCGGGAGAGGUCGUUGGAUACUGACGGACUAGAGGACGGUAGAGGCGUGUGGAAUUCCGGGUGUAGUGGUGAAAUGCGCAGAUAUCAGGAAGAACACCAAUGGCGAAGGCAGCUCUCUGGGACGGUACUGACGCUGAGACGCGAAAGCGUGGGGAGCGAACAGG
rnacentral:rRNA from 1 species